GGAACAACUAAUAGAUGUGGGAGAAAGCUUGUGCUUGCAUACAAGGAACUGAGACAGAAAUCCUCAUUGACAAGAUCUUCUGAAGCAGAGCUAUUGACGAUUGCUAAACAGUUAAAAAGCUAUUAAGCUUCUGCAAAGUAUGAGCACUUUCUGAAUUGGAGGUUCAGAGGACUGCACUCUCAAGGAGCCUGUCCUUGGUCCUGACCCUCACCAUUUCCCUGCCUGUUCCACCUUCUACUGUGAGCUAAUUACAUCCUCUAUAUGCAAUCAGGCCUUUAACUCACAAUUUUUCAGUGUUGUUAAAGCCUCAU